GUUAAGCGACUAAGCGUACACGGUGGAUGCCCUGGCAGUCAGAGGCGAUGAAGGACGUGCUAAUCUGCGAUAAGCGUCGGUAAGGUGAUAUGAACCGUUAUAACCGGCGAUUUCCGAAUGGGGAAACCCAGUGUGUUUCGACACACUAUCAUUAACUGAAUCCAUAGGUUAAUGAGGCGAACCGGGGGAACUGAAACAUCUAAGUACCCCGAGGAAAAGAAAUCAACCGAGAUUCCCCCAGUAGCGGCGAGCGAACGGGGAGCAGCCCAGAGCCUGAAUCAGUAUGUGUGUUAGUGGAAGCGUCUGGAAAGGCGCGCGAUACAGGGUGACAGCCCCGUACACAAAAAUGCACAUAUUGUGAGCUCGAUGAGUAGGGCGGGACACGUGGUAUCCUGUCUGAAUAUGGGGGGACCAUCCUCCAAGGCUAAAUACUCCUGACUGACCGAUAGUGAACCAGUACCGUGAGGGAAAGGCGAAAAGAACCCCGGCGAGGGGAGUGAAAAAGAACCUGAAACCGUGUACGUACAAGCAGUGGGAGCACGCUUAGGCGUGUGACUGCGUACCUUUUGUAUAAUGGGUCAGCGACUUAUAUUCUGUAGCAAGGUUAACCGAAUAGGGGAGCCGAAGGGAAACCGAGUCUUAACUGGGCGUUAAGUUGCAGGGUAUAGACCCGAAACCCGGUGAUCUAGCCAUGGGCAGGUUGAAGGUUGGGUAACACUAACUGGAGGACCGAACCGACUAAUGUUGAAAAAUUAGCGGAUGACUUGUGGCUGGGGGUGAAAGGCCAAUCAAACCGGGAGAUAGCUGGUUCUCCCCGAAAGCUAUUUAGGUAGCGCCUCGUGAAUUCAUCUCCGGGGGUAGAGCACUGUUUCGGCAAGGGGGUCAUCCCGACUUACCAACCCGAUGCAAACUGCGAAUACCGGAGAAUGUUAUCACGGGAGACACACGGCGGGUGCUAACGUCCGUCGUGAAGAGGGAAACAACCCAGACCGCCAGCUAAGGUCCCAAAGUCAUGGUUAAGUGGGAAACGAUGUGGGAAGGCCCAGACAGCCAGGAUGUUGGCUUAGAAGCAGCCAUCAUUUAAAGAAAGCGUAAUAGCUCACUGGUCGAGUCGGCCUGCGCGGAAGAUGUAACGGGGCUAAACCAUGCACCGAAGCUGCGGCAGCGACGCUGAUGCGUUGUUGGGUAGGGGAGCGUUCUGUAAGCCUGCGAAGGUGUGCUGUGAGGCAUGCUGGAGGUAUCAGAAGUGCGAAUGCUGACAUAAGUAACGAUAAAGCGGGUGAAAAGCCCGCUCGCCGGAAGACCAAGGGUUCCUGUCCAACGUUAAUCGGGGCAGGGUGAGUCGACCCCUAAGGCGAGGCCGAAAGGCGUAGUCGAUGGGAAACAGGUUAAUAUUCCUGUACUUGGUGUUACUGCGAAGGGGGGACGGAGAAGGCUAUGUUGGCCGGGCGACGGUUGUCCCGGUUUAAGCGUGUAGGCUGGUUUUCCAGGCAAAUCCGGAAAAUCAAGGCUGAGGCGUGAUGACGAGGCACUACGGUGCUGAAGCAACAAAUGCCCUGCUUCCAGGAAAAGCCUCUAAGCAUCAGGUAACAUCAAAUCGUACCCCAAACCGACACAGGUGGUCAGGUAGAGAAUACCAAGGCGCUUGAGAGAACUCGGGUGAAGGAACUAGGCAAAAUGGUGCCGUAACUUCGGGAGAA
rnacentral:rRNA from 1 species